CCACCAUUUCUUCUUGAAUCUCUCUGGGGAUGAGGAUGCCUACGAUGUUCUGAUGCAGUGUAUUCUAUUAUUGGGCAUCCUACUGAGAUGAAUUCUCUUUAAAAGAGCUACUUUCCAUGGCAUCCAUUUGGCCAAUAGAAAAUUCAUCAUGCUUACCACACCAAGUAGCAGGAAGGCAGGCUUGUCACGCUGUACCCUCCUUCCUUGCCCUAGUCUCCAGUACUGCUCCAGCUGGCCUCUAACCUCCAGAAUCCUCCCAUUAAUAUGCAGGUCACUAUCAGAGUCCUGUGUGUGAACUGAGCUCUGGUUCCUAGACUUUCAGACAAGUUGAGUGAGAUGAAAGAUGGUGCCUGCUGUUUUACUGAAAGAGUCUUGGUUCCUGCUGCUCAGGACUAUUGUGAGGCUGAAGCACUGAAGCAAU
rnacentral:lncRNA from 10 species